rnacentral:rRNA from 1 species
CUUAAGCAUAUCAAUAAGCGGAGGAAAAGAAACCAACAGGGAUUGCCCCAGUAACGGCGAGUGAAGCGGCAACAGCUCAAAUUUGAAAUCUGGCCUCGGCCCGAGUUGUAAUUUGCAGAGGAAGCUUCUGGUGCGGCGCCGUCCGAGUCUCCUGGAACGGAGCGCCAUAGAGGGUGAGAGCCCCGUAUGGACGGAUGCCAAACCUGUGUGAAGCUCCUUCGACGAGUCGAGUAGUUUGGGAAUGCUGCUCUAAAUGGGAGGUAAAUUCCUUCUAAAGCUAAAUAUUGGCCAGAGACCGAUAGCGCACAAGUAGAGUGAUCGAAAGAUGAAAAGCACUUUGAAAAGAGGGUUAAACAGCACGUGAAAUUGUUGAAAGGGAAGCGCUUGUGACCAGACUUGAGCGCGGCGGAUCAUCCGGUGUUCUCACCGGUGCACUCCGCCGUGCCCAGGCCAGCAUCGGCUUCCGCGGGGGGACAAAGGUCCCGGGAACGUAGCUCCUCCGGGAGUGUUAUAGCCCGGGGCGCAAUGCCCCCGCGGGGGCCGAGGACCGCGCAUCUGCAAGGAUGCUGGCGUAAUGGUCAUCAGCGACCCGUCUUGAAACACGGACCAAGGAGUCAAGGUUUUGCGCGAGUGUUUGGGUGUUAAACCCGCACGCGUAAUGAAAGUGAACGUAGGUGAGAGCUUCGGCGCAUCAUCGACCGAUCCUGAUGUAUUCGGAUGGAUUUGAGUAGGAGCGUUAAGCCUUGGACCCGAAAGAUGGUGAACUAUGCUUGGAUAGGGUGAAGCCAGAGGAAACUCUGGUGGAGGCUCGCAGCGGUUCUGACGUGCAAAUCGAUCGUCAAAUCUGAGCAUGGGGGCGAAAGACUAAUCGAACCAUCUAGUAGCUGGUUACCGCCGAAGUU